GACGAACGCUGGCGGCGUGCUUAACACAUGCAAGUCGAACGAAGUGGCGAACGGGUGAGUAACGCGUAAACAACCUGCCCUUCAGAGGGGGACAACAGUUGGAAACGACUGCUAAUACCGCAUACUGAAGGAGGGGAUUGCGUCUGAGUAGCUAGUUGGAGGGGUAACGGCCCACCAAGGCGAUGAUCAGUAGCGGGGCGGAGAGGAGGAACGGCCACAGUGGGACUGAGACACGGGCCAUACUCCUACGGGAGGCAGCAGUGGGGAAUCGUCCGCAAUGGACGAAAGUCUGACGGAGCAACGCCGCGUGAGUGAUGACGGCCUUCGGGUUGUAAAGCUCUGUUAAUCGGGACGCGGUACCGGAAUAGAAAGCCACGGCUAAAGACGUGCCAGCAGCCGCGGUAAUAC
rnacentral:rRNA from 1 species